rnacentral:rRNA from 1 species
CCUGAUCCAGCCAUACCGCGUGGGUGAAGAAGGCUUCGGGUUGUAAAGCCCUUUUGUUGGGAAAGAAAUCCAGCCGGCUAAUACCUGGUUGGGAUGACGGUACCCAAAGAAUAAGCACCGGCUAACUUCGUGCCAGCAGCCGCGGUAAUACGAAGGGUGCAAGCGUUACUCGGAAUUACUGGGCGUAAAGCGUGCGUAGGUGGUUGUUUAAGUCUGUUGUGAAAGCCCUGGGCUCAACCUGGGAACUGCAGUGGAAACUGGACAACUAGAGUGUGGUAGAGGGUAGCGGAAUUCCCGGUGUAGCAGUGAAAUGCGUAGAGAUCGGGAGGAACAUCCAUGGCGAAGGCAGCUACCUGGACCAACACUGACACUGAGGCACGAAAGCGUGGGGAGCAAACAGGAUUAGAUACCCUGGUAGUCCACGCCCUAAACGAUGCGAACUGGAUGUUGGGUGCAAUUUGGCACGCAGUAUCGAAGCUAACGCGUUAAGUUCGCCGCCUGGGGAGUAC